CUACGUGCCAGCAGCCGCGGUAAUACGUAGGUCCCGAGCGUUGUCCGGAUUUAUUGGGCGUAAAGCGAGCGCAGGCGGUUAGAUAAGUCUGAAGUUAAAGGCUGUGGCUUAACCAUAGUACGCUUUGGAAACUGUUUAACUUGAGUGCAAGAGGGGAGAGUGGAAUUCCAUGUGUAGCGGUGAAGUGCGUAGAUAUAUGGAGGAACACCGGUGGCGAAAGCGGCUCUCUGGCUUGUAACUGACGCUGAGGCUCGAAAGCGUGGGGAGCAAACAGGAUUAGAUACCCUGGUAGUCCACGCCGUAAACGAUGAGUGCUAGGUGUUAGACCCUUUCCGGGGUUUAGUGCCGUAGCUAACGCAUUAAGCACUCCGCCUGGGGAGUACGACCGCAAGGUUGAAACUCAAAGGAAUUGACGGGGGCCCGCACAAGCGGUGGAGCAUGUGGUUUAAUUCGACGCAACGCGAAGAACCUUACCAGGUCUUGACAU
rnacentral:rRNA from 1 species